AGAGUUCGAUCCUGGCUCAGAGUGAACGCUGGCGGCAGUGCCUAACACAUGCAAGUCGAGCGGCAGCGCGGUGUAGCAAUACACUGGCGGCGGGCGGCGGACGGGUGAGGAAUGCGUCGGAAUCUGCCUCUUUGUGGGGGAUAACGUAGGGAAACUUACGCUAAUACCGCAUACGACCUACGGGUGAAAGUGGGGGACCUUCGGGCCUCACGCAGAGAGAUGAGCCGACGCCGGAUUAGCUAGUUGGCGGGGUAAAGGCCCACCAAGGCGACGAUCCGUAGCUGGUCUGAGAGGAUGAUCAGCCACACUGGAACUGAGACACGGUCCAGACUCCUACGGGAGGCAGCAGUGGGGAAUAUUGGACAAUGGGCGCAAGCCUGAUCCAGCCAUGCCGCGUGUGUGAAGAAGGCCUUCGGGUUGUAAAGCACUUAUCGUCCGGACANAGAAAUCCUUCGAAUUAAUACUUCGGAGGGAUGACGGUACCGGAACGAAUAGAGCACCGGCUAACUUCGUGCCAGCAGCC
rnacentral:rRNA from 1 species